rnacentral:ncRNA from 1 species
AGAAAAUUUUAUAUUAGUUUAUUAAUUAAGUGUUAUUUUUUAUUAUAUGUAAAUUAUUUUUAAAAAAUAUGGUUGCAGUAAUUUAAUUUAAAUAUUCAAGUAAUUGAGAUUUAGGAAUAAUAAAAAAAUAUAAACAAAAUUUGUGCCAGCAGUUGCGGUUAUACAAAUUAUAUAAUUUAAUUUAUUUAAUUUUAAUUAAUUAAUAAAAAAAUUUUAUAUUAUAAUUUAUUUAGUGAAAUUUUAAAUUAUAAUAAAAUUUUAAUAUUAAAUGUAUUAAGAAAUUUUGAAUAUAAACUAGGAUUAGAUACCCUAUUAUUUAAAAAGUAAUUAAUUAAAUUAAAUUAGUAUUAGUUAUGUUCUUGAAAAUUAAAAAAUUUGGCGGUAUUUUAGUCUUUUCAGAGGAACCUGUUUUAUAAAUGAUAGUCCACGAUUUAAUUUACUUUUUUUAUUAAUUUAUAUAUCGUCGUAAUUAAUUAUUUUUAAAGGAUUUAAAUAUUUAAAAUUUUAGUUAAAAAAGAAUUCAGAUCAAGGUGUAGUUUAUAAAAAAGAAAAAAUGGGUUACAUUAAAUGUUAUUUAAAGAUUUAUAUUAUUAUUAGUAUAUUAAAUUUGGAUUUGAAAGUAAUUUUAAUUAAUUUAUUAAAAUGAUUUGUGCUCUAAAAUAUGUACAUAUUGCCCGUCGCUUUCAUUUAAAAUGAAAUAAGUCGUAACAAAGUAGAUUUACUGGAAAGUGAAUCUAGAUUCAA